rnacentral:rRNA from 1 species
GGGCUUGCGUCCGAUUAGCUAGUUGGUGGGGUAAUGGCCUACCAAGGCAAGGAUCGGUAGCUGGUCUGAGAGGACGUCCAGCCACACUGGGACUGAGACACGGCCCAGACUCCUACGGGAGGCAGCAGCAAGGAAUAGUAGGCAAUGGGCGAAAGCCUGACCUCGCGACGCCGCGUGGAGGAUGAAGGUCUUCGGGUUGUAAACUCCUUUUCUCAGGGAUGUGACAGUACCUGAGGAAUAAGUCACGGCUAACUACGUGCCAGCAGCCGCGGUAAAACGUAGGUGGCGAACGUUAUCCGGAUUUACUGGGCGUAAAGCGUGCGCAGGCGGCUUUUCAAGUCGGAUGUAAAAUCUCUUGGCUCAACUGGGAGCGACCGUCCGAUACUGCUAAGCUGGAGUGCAACAGAGGAGAGUGGAAUUCCCAGUGUAAUGGUGGAAUGUGUAGAU